UACGGAAGGCAGCAGGGGGAAUAUUGCACAAUGGGCGAAAGCCUGAUGCAGCUAUGCCGCGUGUAUGAAGAAGGCCUUAGGGUUGUAAAGUACUUUCAUCGGGGAGGAAAAAACAAAACUAAUAAUUUUAUUUCUUGACGUUACCCGAAAAAGAAGCACCGGCUAACUCCGUGCCAGCAGCCGCGGUAAUACGGAGGGUGCUAGCGUUAAUCAGAAUUACUGGGCGUAAAGAGCACGUAGGUGGUUUUUUUAAGUCAGAUGUGAAAUCCCUGGGCUUUAACCUAGGAACUGCAUUUUGAAACUGAAAUACUAGAGUAUCGUAGAGGGAGGUAGAAUUCUAGGUGUAGCGGUGAAAUGCGUAGAUAUCUGGAGGAAUACCUGUGGCGAAAGCGGCCUCCUAAACGAAUACUGACACUGAGGGUGCGAAAGCGUGGGGAGCAAACAGGGAUUAGAUACC
rnacentral:rRNA from 1 species